UUCAUUUUACAAGAAUGACUUCAAUUUAAGUUAGUUUUUAUUCACCAAAAUCCAUAAUGUUCCAUGUGUCACAAUAAAACAAAGCAGACUUUGCCAGCGUGAAUCCACUUUUACUGAAGAUGAGGGUCAUUCAUGGACCUAGAGGUUACAAUAGUCAAAGUGUUCUGCACGAGAACAAACACACAGAUGUCUUUGAAAUGUGAUGCAAAAGUGCAGACUGCUGCCUCCUACUGAUGAAAAGGAAAUGAGUGAGAUGCUAUGAGUCACUAAUUGUGAACUAGUCAGUCGACAACUCCAAGAGCCCACUUCAUGCUGGUGACGAGGUCCACCAACGAUGGUCUGGCAUGUGGGGGCCUUAGUUGAAAGACAGGAGAGGUGGAUCAGAGACAGCUAGAGGAGCAGGCAUUUCCCGAGUGCUGUAAAGGGGGACUCAUCCCGCUAGGAGAAUGUCUAUUAGGGAAUUCAGACCAAGUUCUGGGAAGGAAUCCACAAGGAAGUCUCCGGGAGCAAGGAAGAAGGGGAAAGGAGAGGCAGCUGGGAAAAUGCGAGACACACACAUCCACCCCUUCCCCAAAACCCUGGCUUACACACUCGUGAGAGCCUCCCGUGGCUCAGGGAAGUCUUAGGGGGUCUUAGGAAACAUCACACAUUUCACUUUCAUCUGUCCACCAGUUAGCUACACUCGGGCUUCCAGAUCAUGAAUUUUUUUUUCUUUUUAAAGGGAGUCUUGUUCUAUAGCCCAGGCUGGAGUCCAGUGGUGUCAUCUCGGCUCACUGCAACCUCAGCCUCCCAGGUUCAAGCGAUUCUCCCACCUCAUCCUCCCGAGGAGCUGGGACUACAGGCACGCGCCACCAUGCCCAGCUAAUUUUUGUAUUUUUCGUAGAGACAGGGGUUUCACCAUGUUGGCCAGGCUUGUCUUGAACUCCUGACCUCCUGAUCUGCCCGCCUCAGCCUCCCAAAGUACUGGGAUUACAGACAUGAGCCGCCGCGCCUGGCCAACAGGUGUUUCUUAAAAGCAGAAGCAGAGAGAGGGCAGGAGAGAACAAACAGGAGGGGAGGGAUGUCUUCCGGACACUGGGCUCUCUCCUCAGGAGAGAAUGAGGCCUGAGGUGGGCACAGGGCCCUCUGGGUGUGUAACAGGCCCAGGGCAGCCUCGCCAGCCUCCAUUGCUUGUCCAUAAGCAAAGCAUAACAUUAUGUGUAAAAACAAACAUCAUCACAAGAUAGGCCAGGCACCGCCUUGCGACAGCAGCCUUGUGGCUACUGGAUGUGUGUGGUUGACCUCAGUAAGGUAGGCGCCCUUCUCUGCAGGCCUGUCCAGACAGCUCCGCACCAUGCUGCUCAGGAUCAGGCCUGCAGUUCCACGAACUGGCCCCCUUGUGGGUUGCCUUCAGGAGCAUACCUCUGACUCAGUGUCCCAACCUCCUCUGCCCUGCCCUGCCCGGGGCCCUCAUGUGCACACACCCAGGAUCUGCCCAGGGCCCUCUCUGCUCAGCCCACAAAUACUGCUUCGUUCCCCUGGCUGACUGGCUGCACCUCCAGGUAAAGCAAUGCUCUCAGGCCCCAGCCAGGUCAUUCUUUACGGGGUUAUUCUAUGUACUGUGGGAGGUAUAGCAGCACCGCUGGUCUUUACGAUGACCGGUUGUGACAUGUGAGCCUCAGUCCUCGCUAUAUCAGGGAGUAGCUUCCUCCGACUAUCGGAAUCACCCUUGCCUGAUGGCAUCUUCUCAGCCCCGUGCUUAGUAAGUCCCCACAUUCCUUUACAGGUGUUCAUUUAAUUCCCUUUGGGUUGAUUCUCAAUAGUUUCUUUCUCUAAGAGUAACCUGAUUUCUGACCCAUACAAUGACCACUGUGGUCCAGCGGACCAUUUGCCUUUCCCACUUUUCCGUCCCCAACACGCACACGCUCCACCCCCUUGCAUAAAAUAACAGUAAGGAAGAAGCAGAAUGAAAUUCCACCCCUGCAUCAGCUACUGGAGUUGGGGCUGAGUUUUGUCUGAUUAAGAACUGCCGGAUCAGUGGCUCACGUUGUGUGUUUUCUCUGUUGGAGGCCCGCCCGGCAUGCGCAGGACCCUCUUUAAGGCCUUCCACCUCUGCUCCUACAUCUUCCACCGGGUUUGUUACAAAUAGUCCCAGAUCUAUUGUACAUCUUCUCAUACUUUUUGCUAUUGAAACUUCUUACAAAGUUUUCUCACCUGCCAGAGGGCAGAGAAACAAAUUGUCAUGAAUGUUCUAGGACCUAGAACAGAGCUUGAGGCAGGGAAAGUAUUCACAAUGUUGUUGGCUGCAGUCAGGAAUAAUAAAUCAAUGUUGAGUGGAUAAACUAAUGAAUAGUUUUGUUUGGUUUUAUGCCAAAAAAUAGUAAUCUCCUGGGUAGCCGGGUACAGUGGCUCAUACCUGUAAUCUCAAUGCUUUGGGAGGCCGAGGUGGGAGGAUCCCUUGAGCUCAGGAGUUCAAGACCAGACUGGACAACAUGGUGAAACCACAUGGCUGCAAAACAUCCAAAAAUUAACCAGGCAUGGUGGUGCGCAUCUGUUUUCUCAGCUACUCAGCCUACUUGGGGAGGCUGAGGCGGAAGAAUCACCUGAACCUGCACUCCAGCCUGGUUGACAAAACAAGAUCCUGUCUCAAAAAAAAAAAAAAAAAAAAAAAAGAAGUGAUCUCCCAUCACCCUCAAAGAAUUCCAGAUAAGAGCAACAGGUCAGCCCGAUCACACUCCUCCAGGUAUCUUUGAGUCUCAGGGCGGUGGUUGCCAUGCUUGAGGGAGGGACGAGGAAGCUGGUUGUUUUCACCACCAGUAAGACCCUGGGAGGCCUGCCGUGGCUUUGAUUGCAGUUCCGACAGAUCCUUCCUUCCCAGCUGGUGCACACCCAACGCACCCCUGCAGAGAGAGCCAAGGAUCCCCCCACAGGCAUGUUUGUGGAGGAGCGUGCACAGUCCUAACGGGUGGCCUGUGGACUCCUGCAGGUCGGCUCCCAGAAAAUCCCAGUCUUACAACCAUGAAAAGGAAGUAGGAUUCACAUACUGUAAACGGUAGGCAGGCCCUUGGUAAUGCUGGGGCUGCUAAGUUUUGAAAACCUAAGAGUUUUAUUUUCUAAAGCAGAAUACAUUCCAUUAACUUGACAUCCUUUAAAAAGUUAUUAAGGCCGGGCAUGGUGGCUCACGCCUGUAAUCCCAGCACUUUGGGAGGCCGAGGCGGGCGGAUCAUGAGGUCAGGAGAUCGAGACCAUCCUGGCUAACACAGUGAAACCCCGUCUCUACUAAAAAAUACAAAAAAAAUUACCCGGUCAUGGGUGGCAGGCGCCUGUAGUGCCAGCUACUCGGGAGGCUGAGGCAAGAGAAUGGCGGGAACCGGGGAGGCGGAGCUUGCAGUGAGCUGAGAUUGCGCCAUUGCACUCCAGCCUGGGCGACAGAGGGAGACUCUGUCUCAAAAAAAAAAAAAAAAAAAAAAAAAUAGCUGGGCGUGGUGACACGUGCCUGUAGUCCCAGCUACUCAGGAGGUUGAGGCAGAAUUGCUUGAAUCUGGGAGGCAGAGGUUGCAGUGAGCUGAGACCGUGCCAUUGCACUCCAGCCUGGGUGACAGAGCGAGACUCCACCUAAAAAAAAAAAAAAAGAAAAAAAAGGUUAUUCCAUGGAGGUAUUUUAAUUAUGCAAUAAAAGGCAGAAGCGACUUUACUGCUACAACUCCCAGAGCAAUUGUUUGCAUGUAGGUUUUUUUCCAGUCUCCAAGGGGUCUUGAUUUUCGAAGCCACUAUCACCCCAGCAAACACCUGUGAAGCUGAAGGCAUCUCUUUCCGCUGUUCUCUCCCAUGCACUGCCCUUGAUCAGCCUUCAAAAUCCAGGGUCCUUGGGGUCACCGGGCUCUGGAAGGGAGCCCACAGGUUGAUCUCUCCAGUUCCACUUACCUCUCCCCCUCGUAUCGUAGUAUUUGCUGCCUCUCCCUUUCCCACAAAACCUGCAAGUUUCUUAAGACUGGGGGUGGGCUUUUUUUCAUCAUUGUAUCCCAUUCCCACUGCAUGGCAUUCCACGGUAUGUGUCCCAUUAAUCUCAAAUGAAAAGCAUUCUUCUUCUUUCCCCACAGAGGCCAGUUUAGGAAACAGGAGCCCUGGCAUUGUCAUGCCCUUGGGGGAAUUGUGGAUAAGGACUGGGUUAAGGAUGAAAUGACUUUUUUCACUUUUGUGAUCUCUGUAGGCUUCCCAGGGGUGCUGAGCACUAGUGCUGAGUGCAGAGAUGAGCGAUGCCGGAGACCAUCAUCUCCUCCACCUAACUCGGCUUCCCAGGGGUGCUGAGCACUAGUGCUGAGUGCAGAGAUGAGCGAUGCCGGAGACCAUCAUCUCCUCCACCUAACUCGGCUUCCCAGGGGUGCUGAGCACUAGUGGUGAGUGCAGAGAUGAGCGAUGCCGGAGACCAUCAUCUCCUCCACCUAACUCGGCUUCCCAGGGGUGCUGAGCACUAGUGGUGAGUGCAGAGAUGAGCGAUGCCGGAGACCAUCAUCUCCUCCACCUAACUCGGCUUCCCAGGGGUGCUGAGCACUAGUGGUGAGUGCAGAGAUGAGCGAUGCCGGAGACCAUCAUCUCCUUCACCUAACUCGGCUUCCCAGGGGUGCUGAGCACUAGUGAGAUGUGGUCUCACCAUAUUGGCUUGGCCAGGUUGGCCUUGAACUCCUGGCCUCAAGCAUUCCUCCUGCCUCGGCCUCUCAAAAUGCUAGGAUUUACAGGCAUAAGCCACUGCACCUGCUUUUUUUUUUUUUUUCUCAAGAGACACAGCCUCACUAUGUUGCCUCAAACUCCCGGGCUCAAGUGAUCCUCCCACUUCAGCCUCCCAAGUAGCUGGCAUUUUAAGCAUACACCACUGCUCGGAGCUAAUUACUGUAGCUUUGUAGCAGGUUUUGAAAUCAAGAAACACGAGGCUUUCAAUUGUAUCCUUCUUUUUCAAGAACGACAGUUAUUUGGGUCCAACUACAUAACUUUUGAAAGACUCAGAAACUGGCAGAGCUAAGCCAGACCAACAAGCAAGUUUUCAACAUCAAACUUCCUUUGCUUUUAAUGCUUUUUAGUGAUUUUAAGGAGUGUGAAGGUUAAUUUUAUGUAUUUCUGGGUGUGUCUGUGAGGGCAUAUGCAGAAGAGAUUAGCAUUUGGGUUGGUUGACGGGCUAACGAAACUCCACCCUCAGUAUCGAGGGUGGGCAUCAUCUCACCGGUUGAGGGCCCACACAGAAGAACAAAAAGGGUUGAGAAGCGCCAAUUUGCCUUUUUACCUCAAGCUGUGACUUCCCUUGUGCCCUGGACAUUGAGCUCCUCCUGGUUCUUAGCCCUUUGGCCUCAGAAUGAAUGACUGUACUGGCAUUCCUGGUUUUCCAGCUUGCAGACGGGAGACAUCUCAGCCUCCAUAAUCAUGUGAACCAAUUCUUUAAUAAGUCUCCUCUUUUAUAUCUUUUAUAUAGCUUAUUGGUUCUGUUUCUCUGGGGAACCCCAACUAAUAUAGUGAGGUAUUCAUUCAUUCCCUUAAAAAAUAAUUCGGGUCUUCCCCACUCAAGAUGGAAUGAAACGGACUGAAUUUAACCCAAUUUCUAAAAAAACUAGACAGAACACAUGAAAAAAUCACUGUCAUGACUUUAGACAUCAGACAGCAAGGAACAUUGAUGUCUGAGAGACAGUAAACAAGUGGUACCUUCGGGGCUGAUGCCUAUCUUCAUUAUCUUUUUUUGAGACAGUCUCGCUCUGCCGCCCAGGCUGGAGUGCAGUGGCACAAUCUCGGCUCACUGCAACCUCCGCCUCCUGGGUUCCAGCGAGCAUAUCCAGCUUAUUUGUUGUAUUUUUAGUAGAGACGGGGUUUCACCAUGUUGGCCAGGCUGGUCUCGAACUCCUAUACUCAAGUGAUCUGCCCACCUCGGCCUCUCCCUCAGUGCUGGGAUUACAGGCAUGAGCCAACAUCCGGCUGUAAGUUUAUUAUCUUGAUUGGAGUGGUAAGUAGUUUCAUGGGUGUAUACAUAUGCUAAAAUGUAUCAAAUUGUAAGUUUUAGAUAUGUGUGGCUUGUUGCAUCUCAUUUAUGCCUCAGUAAAGCUGUUAAAAAAUUAGAAAUACUCUAGAUAUUAUGAAGAAAGAGAGAAGCCUGCAGCACCAACCAGGCAGAAAUAUAAUAGCUACAAGUGGUCCUAACUGGGGAGGAAGGGAAGUUUACCUUUGUAUCCUUUACCAUGUAUCCUUUUAUCAAUAAGAGGAAAAUUGAUUAAUAUAUUAGAUUGAAUCAAGACUUUAUUUUUUUUAGACAGUCUCUCUGUGUUGCCCAGGCUCGAUGGAGUGCAGCGGCAGGACCUCGGUUCACUGCAACCUCGACCUCCAGGCUCAGGUGAUUGAUUUCCCACCUCAGCCUCCCUAGUAGCUGGGAUUACAGGUGUGCACCACCAUGCCUGGCUAAUUUUUGUAUUUUUAGUAGAGAUGGGGUUUGCCAUGUUGCCCAGGCUAGUCUCGAACUCCUGGACUCAAGUGAUCCACCUGCCUCAGCCUCCCAAAGCGCUGGGAUUACAGGCAUGAGCCACCAGGCCUGGCCAACUUAACUGAAAGUGACUUCAGGACAUCAAUAUCUAAAAGUCAUCAGCAAAAUAAUGGGAUUUUUGUGAGUUUUCAUCCUGGAAAGGAAGGACACCCACUGAAGG
rnacentral:lncRNA from 10 species